rnacentral:lncRNA from 1 species
GUUUUGACUAUAAGAAGCCGGCUGAGAGGAAGCAGCUGUUUUCUCUCCUGCUCAGACUCUACCUAACUGCCCUUGACACCUUUGCAUUUUUAUCCAUGCAGAACAGAGCUGUUUGUGUAAACUCCAGCCCCGUCCACUCAGACGAAGAGGGGGCCACCGUGAUGCACCGACGAAGGCGGAGAAAGCAUUCUCAGUUGUGUUUCUAGCCUCGAGAUGCUCUCCACACCUAAGAGUGGUACUCCGAGAUGGAAGACCGCUACUCCUCAGAUCUAUUCUCUUCCAGUCUCAGUGGCAGCUCCAUGCUCUCUGCUUUAAGAUAAUUUCUAGCUCGCCCCGUCCAAACUACAGCACCAAAGCCCAGCAUGAUACAGAAGUCCUGGUCUUUGAUAAUGAAAUGCUUUCCCCUUCAGGACCUUGCCUACCUCGAUUCUUCCUCUAAGCAUAUGCUCUGAUUAAAAAGGACACAAUUAGAGUCUUCUCCCCCUUCUCAUCAGGGUAUUAGUCUUUGCUGACCCAACGCUGACUCAUUCCGUGAUUCAUCUCCCCAGUGCUCUCGGAGGGCAAAUAGGUGUCAAGUCUGGGGGGACGAGCUUCUGUGAACGCGCUUUUUACUGGAACCUAUCCUACCUCAAAGCUCUUCUGCCAGAUUCCAUUAGGAAAUUGCAAGCAGAUGCAUAGAUCCAAGUGCCCUCUUCACUCCUCCUCAUAAUAUAUACACAUCAGAUUUCAGGGAGGGGCUGAGCUGACUGCCUCUCAUGAUUUCUGGGCACAACAGACAUGCAGGCCAAUGUGAAUCCCAAGCAUGCAGCUCCUGUGUGCAUGAAUACAUAUCACAUAUCCCCUCUCAUCAGUGAGAAACUACGGAGCUACCAGACAGGGGGAGAGCAAAGUGACAAUCGAUAUGUUGUACUUCAGAAUGUCAAGUGAAGGCCAUAACAAGAUGGGCAGCCUGCCCCAGGAAUUUGAAAAGAACAGAAAUACCUAAGGAUUGAUUAGGGGCCGGGCCAAAUUCCAGGCUUGAACUCAAUCACAAAUUAUGCUAAAAGCUCCCAAGGGAUGGCUCCAAUUGGCGAUUUUUUUUUGAGCAUGCAUUCCGUUCUUCUGAUACAGACAUCAUUCCUGCCUGGGAGAUGACUGGAGAAUUAAAAGCUGGAGCAAAAAAUGAGUUCAGGAAGGGCUGUUUUCUCAUCCGAAUGCCCUCGAUCUCCCUGAGACAUCUCCCACAGUCUUUAAAAAUGAGUGGAUUUUAUUAUUCCGCUUUGCCAUUCUGGCCCAUCAUGAAGGCCAAAGCCAGCAUUCAGAACAAUAAGAAUUAUCUCAGAUGACAAUGGCCAGGUCAGAAGACUGCACUGUGGCAGACAGACUUCCAAGCAGAACUGUACGAGGCAAGUCGAAAGGCAGGUGUGGUCAACCUUUAAGGAAAUGUCCUUAAAGGGGUUUUCCUAUUCUUUCAGGAACAUUUAGGUCUUGUCUUUUUCCUGUGGACAGAGACAUAUACUUAAUCACUAGCAUAUUGUAUAAGAGAAAAAUAUAUAGACCUUCAAGACCUUCAAAAUAUAUAGCCACAGUUCCAACCUUCAUUACCAGAAAUAACUAGAGGAAAUGAGAAGCAGGUGGGGGAAGGCUUUCCUGAGCGAUGCCAGGACUCCGCUUUAAUUCAGCUUGUGGAUGGCCUGUUCCCACCUCCCCGUCUGGCUGACCAUAUAUUCAGAGGUCAAACUACUAAAAUCGAGCAAACACACUCAAUUUCCUUUAGACUUAACCUCUGCAGUAAGAAGAAGCACAUUUCUCUUGAGACGACGUGAACUUCAAGGGGUCUGAAUUAAUCAAAGACAAUGCUAAGACCAUGUGGUGUGGUGGUGGUGGUGGUGGUGGUGGUGGUGGUGGUGGUGGUGUGUGUGUGUGUGUGUGUGUGUGUGUGUUUGUGUAUGUGUGAAAUGGGCACUGGAAAUCUAAAAGGAGUUCUUUAUUUCUCCAAUGGAUAAAUUAUAUCUUCCAGAGAA